rnacentral:rRNA from 1 species
UCCAGAGGAAGGCUCGUCCGCUCUGGGUUAGUCGGGUCCUAAGCUGAGGCCGACAGGCGUAGGCGAUGGAUAACAGGUUGAUAUUCCUGUACCACCUAGUAUCGUUUUAAUCGAUGGGGGGACGCAGUAGGAUAGGCGAAGCGUGCUGUUGGAGUGCACGUCCAAGCAGUAAGGCUGAGUGUUAGGCAAAUCCGGCACUCAUAAGGCUGAGCUGUGAUGGGGA